CACGUAGGGUGCGAGCGUUGUCCGGAAUUAUUGGGCGUAAAGAGCUCGUAAGCGGUGUGUCGCGUCGGCCGUGAAAACCUGCAGCUUAACUGUGGGCUUGCGGUCGAUACGGGCAUCACUGGAGUUCGGCAGGGGAGACUGGAAUUCCUGGUGUAGCGGUGAAAUGCGCAGAUAUCAGGAGGAACACCAAUAGCGAAGGCAGCUCGCUGGGACGUUACUGACACUGAGGCGCGAAAGCGUGGGGAGCGAACAGG
rnacentral:rRNA from 1 species